rnacentral:lncRNA from 1 species
CUUUCCCACAUCUUCUUCACCUUUCUUUUUUCUAUUCCGACGUGCUGCCACAAGAUCACCAUCUGCCACCUUCAAUUAGACAUUAGCGGUCGAGCCCAGUAACCCAGCGACCCAAGUUAGCGCCAGAGCUAACUUAAAGGUAUGGUUUAUUGAUUUUUAUUUAUUGGGUUAUUAUCAAUUUGUCGGGAAAUAUUGUUUAAAGCAAAUUGCGUUAUUCGGUUGCUAUCAAUUUGUUUAUUUGUAAGAGAAUAUCAUAGAUCUACAGUAAAGUGAAGGUUGAAUCUCAAUUGAAAAUACAGUGGGUUCAAAAUUAUCUUAAUAUUUUGUUUCCUUAACUUCUGAUUAUCUAUGUGAUUUAAUGCAUUUUGAGCAA